rnacentral:sRNA from 1 species
UUUUAGCCCUGAUGGCAGUGAAAAUCCUCUGGCUAGGGAUGGCUAUUUUUUUUCUGGCUGCAAAGAGCGACCAUCGGAAGCUCCUUUGCCGCCUUGAAAAAAAAGCCACCCCAGGCAGAGAUUGCAACGAACAGCAGGAUUAGCU